CUAAGUACGAGCUCUCGUACAGUGAAACUGCGAAUGGCUCAUUAAAUCAGUUAUGGUUCAUUUGAUCGUACAGUUUACUUGGAUAACUGUGGUAAUUCUAGAGCUAAUACAUGCGAGAAGCGCCGACCUCGCGGGAGGCGUGCAUUUAUCAGACCAAAAACCGGCCGCGUCUUCGGGCGCGUUCGCCUUGGUGACUCUGGAUAACUUUGCGGAUCGCACGGUCUAGCACCGGCGACGGAUCAUUCAAGUGUCUGCCCUAUCAACUUUCGUCGGUACGGUAUUUGCCUACCGAGGUUCUUACGGGUGACGGGGAAUCAGGGUUCGAUUCCGGAGAGGGAGCCUGAGAAACGGCUACCACAUCCAAGGAAGGCAGCAGGCGCGCAAAUUACCCAUUCCCGACGCGGGGAGGUAGUGACGAAAAAUAACAAUGCAGGACUCGUUCGAGGCCCUGUAAUUGGAAUGAGUACACUUUAAAAGCUUUAACGAGUAUCCAUUGGAGGGCAAGUCUGGUGCCAGCAGCCGCGGUAAUUCCAGCUCCAAAAGUAUAUAUUUAAGUUGUUGCGGUUAAAAAGCUCGUAGUUGGAUUUUGGGCGCAGGCGGCCGGUCCGUCGCAAGGCGUGUACUGGACGUCCUGGCCUUCCCUCCGGUUCUCCGCCAGUGCUCUUGACUGAGUGUCGGCGGCGGCCGGAACGUUUACUUUGAAAAAAUUAGAGUGUUCAAAGCAGGCUCUCGAGCCUGGAUAAUGGUGCAUGGAAUAAUGGAAUAGGACCUCGGUUCUAUUUUGUUGGUUUUCGGAGCGCGAGGUAAUGAUUAAGAGGGACAGACGGGGGCAUUCGUACUGUGCCGUUAGAGGUGAAAUUCUUGGAUCGGCGCAAGACGAACGACUGCGAAAGCAUUUGCCAAGAAUGGUUU
rnacentral:ncRNA from 1 species